rnacentral:misc_RNA from 1 species
AAGUCGUAACAAGGUUUCCGUAGGUGAACCUGCGGAAGGAUCAUUAACGAGUUUUUGAAAGGGGUUGUAGCUGGCCAAAAAAUAAGGCAUGUGCACACCCUGCUCAAUCCACUCUCAAACCCCUGUGCACUUAUUGUAGGCUAUGGUGGGAUAGCUGGCUUCGGUCAGUUUGAAAGCCUUGUCUAUGUUUAUUACGAACGCUUCAGUUAAAGAAUGUCAUAUAGCGUCUAACGCAUUAUAUACAACUUUCAGCAACGGAUCUCUUGGCUCUC